AGAUAAAAUUAUUUGGAUUGCACCCAAAAACUGUUUUAAGACUUUAUCUU
rnacentral:tRNA from 1 species